GUCGGGGUAGUUUAGUGGUUAGAACGCGGCGCUCAUAACGCCGAAGUCGCGAGUUCAAAUCUCGCCUCCGACA
rnacentral:tRNA from 1 species